CGUAGGCGGCGAUGGCGACGCCGACGGAGAUGGCGAGCAUGUUGGACAUGGUGGUGGGCUUGUAGGAGUCCUUCUUGAGGAGGAUUCCGAUGGAGUAGACGGCUACGGGCAUUAGGGCUUUGAGCAUCUGGAUGAAGGAGACGGAGAGGUAGAUGUAGGCGGAGUUGGAGAGCCAGAGGGAGAGGGAGUAGAGGGCGCCGAUGGGGACGACGGAGGAGAGGUAGACGCGGCGGGAGAGGGCGGCGGGCUCGACGAGGCGGAGGAGGCGGACGGCGGCGAAGGCGAGGGAGGAGCAGAAGGCCAUGUGGAUCAUGGUGAGGGAGAUGGGGAAGGGCCAAUUGUACAACUUGCGAUCCAGGAUGUACUUGUUGUAGACGAUGACGGUGAAGGAGAGGAAGAUCCAGAUCGCCACGUACAUGUAUGAGAGCAUGAUCU
rnacentral:lncRNA from 1 species